GCCUGGAUGGCGGAACUGGUAGACGCGUAGGAUUCAGGAUCCUAUGGCAAUAACCAUGCCGGUUCAAGUCCGGCUUCAGGCACCA
rnacentral:tRNA from 1 species